CCCUUAGAUGUUCUGGGCUGCACACGUGCUACACUGGCAGGUUCAGCGAGCUUCAUGCCCUGAUCUGAAAGGAAUGGGAAAUCUUUUCAAAACCUGCCGUGCUUGGGAUAGAUGUUUGCAAUUAUUCAUCUUCAACGAGGAUUGCCUUGUAAGCGCACGUCAUCAGCGUGCAUUGAAUACGACCCUGUAUUCUGUACACACCGCCCGUCGCUCCUACCGAUUGAAGUUUUCGGUGAGUUGACAGGAGGAUUUUUUUGAAACUGGUUCGCCAGUGGAUUUUAUAUCCAAAUGCCAACGAAUCGAUGGCUUUAGAGGAAGGAGAAGUCGUAACA
rnacentral:rRNA from 1 species